rnacentral:rRNA from 1 species
UACGUAGGGGGCAAGCGUUGUCCGGAAUCAUUGGGCGUAAAGCGCGUGUAGGCGGCUCGGUAAGUCUGCUGUGAAAGUCCAGGGCUCAACCCUGGAAUGCCGGUGGAAACUGUCGAGCUAGAGUCCGGAAGAGGCGAGUGGAAUUCCUGGUGUAGCGGUGAAAUGCGCAGAUAUCAGGAGGAACACCAAUGGCGAAGGCAGCCCGCUGGGACGGUACUGACGCUGAGGCGCGAAAGCGUGGGGAGCAAACAGG